rnacentral:rRNA from 1 species
GACCAGACUCCUACGGGAGGCAGCAGUGGGGGAUAUUGCACAAUGGGGGAAACCCUGAUGCAGCGACGCCGCGUGAGUGAAGAAGUAUUUCGGUAUGUAAAGCUCUAUCAGCAGGGACGAAAAUGACGGUACCUGAGUAAGAAGCCCCGGCUAACUACGUGCCAGCAGCCGCGGUAAUACGUAGGGGGCAAGCGUUAUCCGGAUUUACUGGGUGUAAAGGGAGCGUAGACGGCAGUGCAAGUCUGAAGUGAAAGCCCCGGGCUUAACCCGGGAAUUGCUUUGGAAACUGUACGGCUGGAGUGCUGGAGAGGUAAGCGGAAUUCCUAGUGUAGCGGUGAAAUGCGUAGAUAUUAGGAGGAACACCAGUGGCGAAGGCGGCUUACUGGACAGUAACUGGCGUUGAGGCUCGAAAGCGUGGGGAGCAAACAGGAUUAGAUACCCGGGUAC